GCUUUUUCAUCAAUUUCGAUAUUGAUGGGCAUGGGUUGGCUUUUAUGGGCUUCAUAGGCAUUGCACUUUAUCAAAAUUUCGGGAGCAGGGUCCGAAUCCUGUGAAUUGCCUAUGUAUCCAAAUCCUCUGACAGAUGAAAUGUAAAGCGGUUUUGGGGGUAAAAAGUUUGUUUUUUUUGGUUUUUCUAAAGAAAGAUUGGAGGGUAAAGGUGAGAAAUGAGGUUUGGAGGCCAAGAAUUUAUGUUGCGAGUGAUUAGAAAUUGUGAGGGAUUGCUUAACAAAGCAAGCCAUGUUGUGAGUUGUAAUGCUGGUGCUGGUGCUGGUGCGGUGCUGGUGCUGAUAAAGAGUGAAUAUUGAAUGAAGUAAUAGUGGGCUGAAUCUUUGGGAAUGAAAUUGAUACGACUGUCACAUUAGCAUCUAUGAUUUAUAUAGCAGAGUUAUGGAAAAGAGUGGGUUUAGUAAUGACGCCCUCUCGAGCUUGUGAAGGUUAGGUGUAGGUCUGCUGUCUGUCAAUAGGUCUCGAAAGGCAACUUAAACAACAUUCUUUUUUUGUAUUCCACUUCAAAUUUAUUGGAAUAUUCACAAUGAUUUUCACAUCGUACAAUUUUGAAAGGAGACUUAAAU
rnacentral:lncRNA from 1 species